GGUGAGUCACUUAACCCUGUCUGCCUCAGUUUCCUCCUUUGUAAAAUGAGCUGAAGACAGAAAUGGCAAACCACUCUAUAUCUCUGCCAAGGAAACUCCAAAUGGGGUCAUGAAGAGUCAGAUACAACUGAAAAAUCACUGAACAAAAGGGACCAUGGAGGUUACCUAAUCCCAUCUCCCCAUUAGACAGAUGAGGAAAUUGAGGCUCAGAGAGGGAAAGCAGCAUCCCAUGGUCACAUAGAUAGUGAGUGGUGUAACUGAAUCCAGACCCUCUGACUUCAAAUUCAGUGCUCUUCCCACCAGACUAUGUUGCCUCUCUGAGGCAAAGUCCGAGGACUUUGGGCCCCUGGAAUACCUUUGGGAGUUGUCUGAAAUCUCAUCCUCAUGGCCUGAGAUGGGAGCCUAAAGUGUAGAGCUGAUCCUUCAGGUACCCUGGUCAUUGUCCGGGCAGACAGACAGCUCCUGGGGAUGGGGUGGGGAGGGGUUGGAGCAUCCUCUGCCACCAUUUGGGUUGGGAUGCCCAGGCCUAUUCUGCCCGUCUCCCUCUUUCUUCUCAGGAGUCGUUACCAAACAGGACCAAGGAGGUCAUUGAGACCAGACUCUCUUUGCUGACCAAUGGCAGCGUCUCUGUGGCCACAUGGACAGAUGUACGGGUGUUGUUCUAUUUCUAUUUCCUUCAAAGUGACCUGCUCCCUACAGAGAACACCAGUUGUGCAGCCUUUCAAGCCAUGUACUCAGUCCAGACCCCAGUGUUAUAAUCUCAGUGAUCCCCCCACGCCCGACUGGUUCACAGCCUACUUGGGUCGCUAUAUCAGUCUGAGCAGUGUUGAUGACAUCCGUGACUUCUUGGGCUAUGACCAGCAAUUGCUGCAGGCGCUGGCCUCUCAACGGGACAGCCUCCAGCUGUUUAGUCAGCAGGACAUCCCCAGGAAUGUGACUGUGGUCACUCACCUCCGCUAUUCUGGCCGAGACCCCUAACUUCAACAUCUCUGAGCUCCCAGACAAGUUCCUAUGUUUCUCACCUGAGGUCUCUGCCCUCCAUUCCCUCGGAGAAGAGACCCUGUGGAAGGUUAUAAAGAAACUGAAUGACAGCUGUGAACCUUCUACUAAGACUGACACAGAUGCCAUGGGCCUAAGGGCACCUUUGCCCCCAGCCCGCCAGGUAGAGGGCUCCUUUUCCCUAGGCUGGGAUUAGGGAGUUAAGUCUGUGGCCAAGGUUUGAAGCAUGGGGGUGGAGUCAGGGAGUCAGUCUAUGGCAGGAAAAUUGUGUUUCUUUGUUGGGGUCCUUUAGUAAGAUCAUGUGACCUUGUCCAUAUUAAUGCUGUAUUCUAAACCUUGAAUUCACUGGUCACAUUGCAAAGCAUGCUUCUGGAAUAUCCCAAAGUAAUAGAUUACAAUUU
rnacentral:lncRNA from 1 species